UAUCGAAACAAAUGGAGCAAUUCUUUUUAGGAAAAAAAAAGGUUUUAAAUAACGUUACAACUAAUCUUUCCAAUUCACAAAAUUGGCUUAGAAUUCGAAAAUUAAGAUCAUAAAUUCGUAGACUACCAUCAAAUCUAGACAUUUAAUCAAACAAAAUUUAAAAAUUGUUAUUCAUGAUUGAGUUUCAAACGAAGGGAAGAAAUCGAUAUCCAACCCAUGGAAGAGCUGACAGACCGGUUCUCAUAUCAUGGAAGCAAAGGAUUGGUAGAGAUUUGAGAGGGAUUCAGGGAGAUUACGUAAGGCAAAUGAUACUGAUACAGCACUCUGCUCUGUUCUGACGUCGCAAUGAAUUUUGACCACUGAAGAACAGUUAUCCUACUACAAAUAUAGGCGGCAUCAGCUAAUGUAGUAACUUUUCAUUUGAUAGUUUAAGGGUUUGAAAAACAUAAGCUGUUGGCUGAUGACAUAAAAUGACAGUCCAAUGUGAAAAGAGAAUCACAGUCUUACAUGCAUCCCAACCAGACGUCAUUUUAUCUGUUGUUUAACUUUAAACAAGUGGACGUGAUGCAGACAAGAUAACAAAAUUCCAUCAACAAGCUACAUGACCAAUAUUAGAAGCACCCUUUUGAGAAGCCUAGCUAGACUACAGAUGAUAUGACGCAGAAGCCGACUAAAGUAGCAGGUAAACCUUAUUUUUUUCAGAAAUUUCCUUCCUUUUUGAUAAUUUUUAAAUGCUUUUUAGACGAAUAUAUGGAUAUAUUGAGUUUGUUGGAAAUUGGUAACUGGUUGGAUGAUUAGUGCUCUCCUUGGAACGAAAAGGAUGGAAAUAACAUUACUGGCUCCUAACUGCUAUUGAUUGUGAUGUGAAGCACCAAAACCAAGCUGAAGACAGGUCUCUUUCUUGAAACAGAACUUGCAUUCAUUAUUGUUGCUGCCUACUGAUAAGUUUCCCUUUUUAAGAAAACCAUUUUAAUUAUUUUUUUAAUGAUAUGUUUGAAUAAAUACAUUUUUGACAUGUGUCUUAGAUAAUGUUUGGUGAAUAGUUGAGUGUAAAUUGGUGAAUUAUGUGAAGUAAAUGCUAAUUAUUAGAAUGAAUUUGCUUUGGGGGUGGAUGGAGUUGGACGAUCUGGAUGCGCCUUGUCUUUCUAAAAGUUUGUAAAUAUCUGCAUGAAUAAGGUCAUUGUUCUUUGCAGUUGAAGUUGAAGAAGAAGAACAAAAUUGAAAAACAUCUUUCCACUAUUUGUUUUCUCGAAUUUUGAAGCACAAUCAUCACUAGCAUCAAUAAUUUAUUUAUUUAAAUGCUAGUCCUGAUGCAUCUUUAAAUAAAUAAUCAGAAUCUAAUUCUUUCAUGCGAUUAGUGAUUAUUUAUUCAAGAUCCGCUUGAUAUACACUUGAGAAGUUGUCAAUUUUUUUUUCUUCUCUCUUUAUUUGACAUCGCAUUAUUAAAAUCAAGCCAAAACUGUAACUCAACCUCCAUCCUGGUCAAGUAAUACAUCUGGAAGUGUCCAAUCAUCCUUGUUGUCAUCAGAUGGAGCUCAGAGUUAGCUGUGGAGAACAUGAACACCCCAUCACAGCAAAUGGUGAUGUCAAUGUUACAGAUGGUGGUUCUUAGGCAGGAAGAUUAUUCAGUCAUGAUUUCAUGAGUCUGAUGUUGUUGUAAUUACCCCCCGUAGGUUCAAGGAUAUUCCUUUUCAUUUUGGGGUAAGUUUAUCGUGUACAUGAAUGUAACAACUUUUUUUCUAGUACAAGUUGGGAGUGGGAGGAUUUGAAUCACAGACCUCUUGGCCCUCAAUACAUACAGAUAUCAGUUGAGUUACGUUCUUGUUGGCAUGAAUGUAACAACUUACUUAUAUAGAAAAAACAAUAUAUAUAUACUGUAGUGUGGAGGAAAAAAUAAAAUUGCCCAUCUAUUAUGAACCGCUUUCAUAUUCAUCA